UAAUCUGUUUGGAGCAAUUCUCCUCUAGUUAUAACAGGUCUUUAAUUGAUUGUUAAGAAUCACUUGUUAUCACAGGUUCUACGUCAAGUUUGCAUGGAUGAGACAUAGCUAUUGAGCUCUACCUCGUCAAAAC
rfam:Populus trichocarpa scaffold_5_contig_245, whole genome shotgun sequence.